rnacentral:rRNA from 1 species
UACGUAGGGUGCAAGCGUUACUCGGAAUUACUGGGCGUAAAGCGUGCGUAGGUGGUUCGUUAAGUCUGAUGUGAAAGCCCUGGGCUCAACCUGGGAAUGGCAUUGGAUACUGGCGGGCUAGAGUGCGGUAGAGGGCAGUGGAAUUCCUGGUGUAGCGGUGAAAUGCGCAGAUAUCAGGAGGAACACCAAUGGCGAAGGCAGCUCGCUGGGACGGUACUGACGCUGAGACGCGAAAGCGUGGGGAGCAAACAGG